rnacentral:rRNA from 1 species
GAGAUUCCCCCAGUAGCGGCGAGCGAAAGGGGAGGAGCCCAGAGCCUGAAUCAGCAUGUGUGUUAGUGGAAGCGUCUGGAAAGGCGCGCGAUACAGGGUGACAGCCCCGUACACAAAAGCGCAUGUGUUGUGAGCUCGAUGAGUAGGGCGGGACACGUGGUAUCCUGUCUGAAUAUGGGGGGACCAUCCUCCAAGGCUAAAUACUCCUGACUGACCGAUAGUGAACCAGUACCGUGAGGGAAAGGCGAAAAGAAC